GGUCAGUGAUGAGAAGAGAAAAGUCUGAUUGCACUAGUGAAUUGCACACUCAUUACUUUCACAGCUCCCAGCAGUUUCUUUCCUGCCACCCAUCCACGCUCCAGUAAUGCUGUGAGGUACUAUGAGGCUGCUGAUAUCAUUGUGGAUUAAGUUGGUCCACGCUCCUGUAGUAUAAGGGGUCUGGUACUGACUGUCAUCCAACAGCACCAGUGAAGGAGCUGUCAGUUCUGGGAUGUGACUUAAAAUGUGCAUGAUCUUUAGUUUUCAAGCUGAGACC
ensembl:scaRNA